rnacentral:lncRNA from 1 species
GGCUUCUAGAGAGCUUUGUACGUGGGCAGUCCUGAUUUGCAAUUAAGUGGAAUUUUUCAAAGCAGUCUCUGUGUCCCCUUAAAGAUCUUGUAUGUAGAAGAUCUGACUUUGGUACUCCUUCGAUGUUCAGCUCGAAGCAGAUGUGGCAGAACGAGAGCGUCUCCUUCUCUGUGCCGAGCUUGCAGACGCUGCACACGUUGUCAUCGUCCAGGUCGAUGUUGACAAACUGCUCCUCGUUCAUCGUGC